rnacentral:rRNA from 1 species
UACGUAGGGCGCAAGCGUUGUCCGGAAUUAUUGGGCGUAAAGAGCUCGUAGGCGGUUUGUCGCGUCUGCUGUGAAAAUCCAGGGCUUAACCCUGGACCUGCAGUGGGUACGGGCAGACUAGAGUGCGGUAGGGGAGAUCGGAAUUCCUGGUGUAGCGGUGAAAUGCGCAGAUAUCAGGAGGAACACCGGUGGCGAAGGCGGAUCUCUGGGCCGUAACUGACGCUGAGGAGCGAAAGCAUGGGGAGCGAACAGG